rnacentral:lncRNA from 1 species
AUACAUCCACCUCAUAAGAUCCUUCCGAUGAAACAUUCUUUUCCCACGUUUUCAGAACUUCAUCACAACUCAAAUAGAAGGCUGGGAUCAUGAGCUGUGCCCGAGCAAUAGUAAGAAAAAGGUAUACUUAUCUCAACACAUUAUCCUAUAACAGAAUCUUCAAAAUUGCUUCUCAACUACAUAAACUUGAAAUGAGAUUGACAGAGCAAUUUGGCCAAAAACACUUCAAUUUCUCAACUAUAAGAAAACACAAAACAAGAUUUUGCAAUAGAAAACCUUCAAUUUCUCAAGAUGGAAAGCAGGGUUGAUGAUUUUCCUGUGCUUGGCCCAUUCAUCUUUCUCAUAGCUCGCAAGUCCUUGUAGCAGCAGCUUCGUCAUCGGAUUCCUGUUCUCCGGCCUCAGGUACAGAUAACUCUUGGUCAGCACCUCCUUAACUAGCUCUGGAUCAGUAAGGAUAAUGGAAGGCCUUGGCCCAAGCCAAACAAACGACUCAUUUCCUAGAUAAAUCGAUAUUUACCCAAAUAAGAAAACAAGAAAUUCAUUUUGAUGCUGCAAAUUGAAUUCAAGAUAGCUGAGCAUUCAUCAAUUGAUACAUUCAACAAAAUUGUGAAGAAAGCUCACUCAAUGAACUCACUGACAUCAUUUAUCACUUAACAAAACUAAAUUCGACAUGAACUCACUGAAAAUCAUUGCAUUGCACAUGGUAAUACUGCAACCCUAUCCACUCCCCAUCUUAAAUUCUUAAACAAUUUAACCAAUUCGUUUCUAAUCAUGCUACAAGACUUCAUUUUUCCAACAUAUGGUAACAUAGAAAUCAAAGAUAUUAAUCAAACCCUCAUGUCUCUAUCUCAACAUCCAAUCGGAGCAAGAUUCUAAUAAAUAACAAGAAAUACAGCAUACCAUGUUUGUGAAUAGUGUUGACGAUAAAGGGCGCAACUCUAUUCUUGAUAUCAUCAUCAAGAUUGAUGGGCUUGCUCCUGGCUUCCAUGCUCAACUGCGUCAGUUCCUUCAAGUCGCCAUACACCAAUUUGUAGGCAUUACCUUUGAACCCCUGCUUCCUGAGGGCUUCUCCCAGCCUCUUGGGCGUGAUGUAGGCCCAACUCAGUAAUUUCCAUGUGUAUAUCAACGCCGCAAGCGCCAAAGCAGACGCAAAUACUUGACACAGAGCUUCCAUUUUUCGUUUUGAUCGGUAGGCCAACUGAGCUCUUACUAUUUGAAGUAUAUGUUGAUUGUUGUGUGGGUGGGAUUCUGAGUUUCUUGAAGUAUAUGGAUAAAACGACUCAUAAUUUUUUGCGAAAAAUCAAAAGCUUCGAAUUAUGGGCUUCUACGAGACACACGUGAAAAUGAUAAGAGGCAUAAGACGUUCACAAAAAUAAAAUCUGGAAUGGGACGAAUGUUAAAAAAAAAUAUUUUUAUUUAUUUAAUAAAAUGGAGAAAAAGAACCACGAACUUAGAAAAUAGAAAAAAAAAAAAAAAACUAAUCAAGCCAAUAAGUGAAGAAAUAAGUCUACAAAUUAAUCAAAUUAUUAUUAAAAUAUUACUAAAAAUAUGUUACGAUAUACUUUUACGAACGAAUGAAAAUGACAAAUUAAAUCUUAUUAUGGAAUACUAUUAUGAAUUGGUGAUAAAUUGCGAAUUUUUGCUCUUUUGUUUAUUCUAGAGCCGCGAGCGUGGUGGAUUCUGUCAGACUGAUAUGAAAUUUUAUUUGAAUUUUAAUCUAUUUAUUUUUAUAUACGACAAUUAUCACUUUUUAUAUCAGUAAGUAUCACUUUAAUCAUAAAAAAAUGAUAUUAUUAUUUGAGUUAUUGUUAAUUUUUUAAGAAUAACUAUCAUCUUAUUAAUAAGAAUUGUCACUUUUAUAGUACAUUAGAACUAUUAGUUUUAUUUAAAGGAUUAAAUGCAAUGCAGUAAGAUCACAAACUUUGGUUUAAAUACAUUUUGCACACAAACUAGAUUUGCACCAAAUCAUCCAUAUAUUAUACUCCCUUCGUCUCAUUACAAAUGUCCCAUUAUUUUGGGCACGGAGAUUAAACAUGCAUAGCUAUAGUAAAGACAAACUCUACGAACUCUAAUAAAAAAUAUAUAAAAAUACUUAUAACUAUUGUUUUAUGGCAUAUAAAGUCCAAAUAUCAAAAGGCUAUACAAUAUAUUAUGCAUCAAGAAGAGCUAUAUGUUGAAGAAUUAUGAAACAACUAUAACAAUAAUAGCUAUACAACGCUGAAAAUCUAGAGCUUGUGCAGGAGCAGGUGAGCACCAUGCUGAGGUUGAGUAGUAAUCACACUGAGAGGCGCAUGCGUAUACAACGGAGAAAGCUCGAACGAGAAGCUUCUUAGAAGCACGGCCACUGCCAUUUUCGCCUCCAGCAUUGCAAACACUUGCCCUAUACAUAUUCGAGGUCCCCAGCUAAAAGGGAAAAAUAUACCUGGACCCUUUUGUGCCUUGGCCACUCCUUCACUGAAUCUCUGUGGAUUGAACUCCAUCGCAUCGUCUCCCCAGAUUUUCGUGUCGUGAUGUAAUACAAUUAUUGGCAGUGAAAGCAGAACUCCGGCUGGUAACGUAAAUUUCCCCAACUUGGUUUCCUCACUGGCUCUGCGGCCAAGAGCUAUCACCGGUGGAUAAAGCCUCAACACCUCAUACAAAAUCAUUGUAACCUGCAAUCAAAUAUCAUCAAGGUAAGUUUAUUCAAUAAGAUUAACAUGUUUGAUAGGUAGCUACUUACAAUCUUGAGCUGAUUCAGGCCAUCGAAAUCUGGCUUUCGGUUCCAAAGACUUGCAGACCUCUUCCCUGGCUCGUGUCUGCCAGUCGGGAUAUCUACUCAGUAAAACCAUUGUCCAAACAAGCAACACGGAGGUAGUCUCCUGCCCAGCAAAAUAGAACAGCUUGCACUCUUCUACUACUGCAUCUAUGGUCAUCCCGGAACUCUUGUUACCAUUUCCUCGAUUUCUUGGGAGUUGGACGCCAACAAUAUACUUAGCAAUCCUCAUCUGUCUAGCCUCCCCCGUCUUCAUAGCCUCAUCCUUUUACUAAUGAGACCUCGAAUUGUUGACUGAACUUCUCUUCAAUUGUUUCAUUCUCGGUGCCUUUUGUGGGACAAAUCUACAACAUUGAGAAAACACAUCACACAUGAAANUGGAGAAGCUCAUUACUCUAUGUAGCUACUUAGAACUACUAUCUUUCUUGAUGGGAUCUAACUUUAGCAUUAAAGAUUUAUUUGUGAUUCACAUAAUGUUAUUACCUCCAUCCCGGAACAUAUAUGGCGCCAGCUUGAUGAUGUGCUCAACUUGUUCUCUUGAAGCUCGAAUAUUCUCCUCCCUUCUGGUAGCUGCUACCGAAUGCAGUUCUUGAUAUUGCUCGCUCGUUAGAUUUUUAAAUAAGGCCAACAUCCACCUCUAAGAUCCUUCCGAUGAAACAUUCUUUUCCCACGUUUUCAGAACUUCAUCACAACUCAAUAGAAGGCUGGGAUCAUGAGCUGCCGAGCAAUAGUAAGAAAAAGGUAAACUUAUCUCAACACAUUAUCCUAUAACAGAAUCUUCAAAAUUGCUUCUCAACCAUAAACUUGAAAUGAGAUUGUUU